GCUAACGAGCGCAACCCUCGCUGUGUGUUACAAGUGUCACACGGAACUGCCGGUCAUAAACCGGAGGAAGGUGGGAUGACGUCAAGUCAGCAUGGCCUUUAUAUCCUGGGCUACACACACGCUACAAUGGGAAGGGACAAUAGGUUGCGAAACCGCGAGGUGGAGCCAAUCCAGCAAAACUUCCCUCAGUUCAGAUUGCAGGCUGCAACUCGCCUGCAUGAAGUUGGAGUUGCUAGUAAACGCAGGUCAGCCAUACUGCGUUGAAUACGUUCCCGGGGCUU
rnacentral:rRNA from 1 species